rnacentral:rRNA from 1 species
AGCGAACGCUGGCGGCAGGCUUAACACAUGCAAGUCGAGCGGACCUUUCGGGGUCAGCGGCGGAUGGGUGUGUCACGCGUGGGAACGUGCCCUCCUGUUCGGCAUAACUCUGGGACACUAGGGCUAAUACCGGAUACGCCCUUAUGGGGAAAGGUUUUCUGCCGGACGAUCGGCCCGCGUCUGAUUAGCUAGUUGGUAGGGUAACGGCCUACCAAGGCGACGAUCAGUAGCUGGUCAGAGAGGAUGAUCAGCCACACUGGGACUGAGACACGGCCCAGACUCCUACGGGAGGCAGGAGUGGGGAAUAUUGGACAGUGGGCGCAAGCCUGAUCCAGCCAUGCCGCGUGAGUGAUGAAGGCCUUAGGGUUGUAAAGCUCUUUUAACCGGGACGAUAAUGACGGUACCGGAGGAAUAAGCCCCGGCUAACUUCGUG